rnacentral:lncRNA from 1 species
CCUCUGGGGGCUGCCUUCCCACUCAUGGGAUUAUGAGCUCUCAGCUGCAGAGAUGCUUUCUGUCUUUGGUCUACACUGUGCACCACUGUGAGGUGCAUUUCCAGUACGCACCAAUGGAUGCUAAGCAGGACACAGCUGGGAUUGUUGCUGGGGCACCCUGACUUAACCACGCCACCUGAGAACUCCUGAUGGUCCACCUCAGGAAGUCCACCUGGAGCCCAUGUCGUCCCAGAGCAUCAGGGUCACCUGGAAGCCUGCUGCCUGGCCAGACUGAACGAGCAACAGGAUUAUGCCACCGUCUCCUGCCUUGACGGGCGCAUCUUCAGGAAGCAUCCACUGCCUCCCGAGGAAGCCCCCAUUUGGACAUUUGGGCGGGGGAGGGGGUGCAGCCCGGACCCUGGCAACCUUACACUCUGGGAGCUUGGCAUCAGGUGCCUGCAACCCAGCACUGACUGCAGCGGUGACGGCCCCAGAGGUGGUGGAAGUGACCGAGGGGCCCCUGGAGCCCAGGGGAAGGAGAAGCGCUGCUGGGCCGCAGGGAAGGGCCGUGGAGUGGGAAGCGGCGCUGCCCAUGAGGCAGACCGGUUUCCACAGCAGCGGGGAAGAGCGGUCUUUGCUGGAGACUCUCGGGGUGCAGGACUCUGGCAGCAUCCAGGAGGGCCCGUGAAAAGCUGGGG